rnacentral:rRNA from 1 species
AUUGAACGCUGGCGGCAUGCCUUACACAUGCAAGUCGAACGGCAGCACGGGAGCAAUCCUGGUGGCGAGUGGCGAACGGGUGAGUAGAGUAUCGGAACGUGCCCAGUCGUGGGGGAUAACGUAGCGAAAGUUACGCUAAUACCGCAUACGAUCUAUGGAUGAAAGCGGGGGAUCGCAAGACCUCGCGCGAUUGGAGCGGCCGAUAUCAGAUUAGGUAGUUGGUGGGGUAAAGGCUCACCAAGCCGACGAUCUGUAGCUAGUCUGAGAGGACGACCAGCCACACUGGGACUGAGACACGGCCCAGACUCCGACGGGAGGCAGCAGUGGGGAAUUUUGGACAAUGGGCGAAAGCCUGAUCCAGCCAUGCCGCGUGCAGGAUGAAGGCCUUCGGGUUGUAAACUGCUUUUGUACGGAACGAAAAGGUUUGGCCUAAUAAGCUGAGCUCAUGACGGUACCGUAAGAAUAAGCACCGGCUAACUACGUGCCAGCCGCCGCAGUAA